UACGGAGGGUGCAAGCGUUAUCCGGAUUCACUGGGCUUAAAGGGAGCGUAGGUGGGUUGGUAAGUCAGUGGUGAAAUCCCCGAGCUUAACUUGGGAACUGCCAUUGAUACUAUCAGUCUUGAAUACUGUGGAGGUUAGCGGAAUAUGUCAUGUAGCGGUGAAAUGCUUAGAUAUGACAUAGAACACCAAUUGCGAAGGCAGCUGGCUACACAAAUAUUGACACUGAGGCUCGAAAGCGUGGGGAUCAAACAGG
rnacentral:rRNA from 1 species